AUUGAACGCUGGCGGCAUGCCUAACACAUGCAAGUCGAGCGGAUGAAUGGAGCUUUCUCCUGUAUGCAGCUGCGGACGGGUGGGUAAGUCCUAGGAAGCUGCCUGGUAUUUGGGGAUAACGUCCGGAAACGGGCGCUAAGACCGCAUACGUCCUUAUGUAGAAAGUGGGGGAUCUUCAGACCUCACGCUAUCAGAUGAGCCUAGGUCGGAUUAGCUAGUUGGUGUGGUAACGGCUUACCAAGGCGACGAUCCGUAACUGGUCUGAGAGGAUGAUCAGUCACACUGGAACUGAGACACGGUCCAGACUCCUACGGGAGGCAGCAGUGGGGAAUCUUGGACAAUGGGCGAAAGCUUGAUGGAGCAACGCCGCGUGUGUGAAGAAGGUCUUCGGAUCGUAAAGCACUUUAAGUUGGGAGGAAGGGAAGUAAGUUAAUACCUUGCUGUUUUGACGUUACCAAAAGAAUAAGCCACGGCUAACUUCGUG
rnacentral:rRNA from 1 species